GACGAACGCUGGCGGCGCGCCUAACACAUGCAAGUCGAACGGAGCUUUGAGAGCUUGCUUUUAAAGCUUAGUGGCGAACGGGUGAGUAACGCGUGAGUAACCUGCCCUGGAGAGGGGGAUAACAGCCGGAAACGGCUGCUAAUACCGCAUAAUGCAUCGGAUUCGCAUGUUUCUGAUGCCAAAGAUUUUAUCGCUGAAAGAUGAGCUCGCGUCUGAUUAGCUAGUUGGCGGGGUAACGGCCCACCAAGGCGACGAUCAGUAGCCGGACUGAGAGGUUGAACGGCCACAUUGGGACUGAGACACGGCCCAG
rnacentral:rRNA from 1 species